rnacentral:rRNA from 1 species
CAGCAGCCGCGGUAGUACAGAGGGUGCGAGCGUUAAUCGGAUUUACUGGGCGUAAAGCGUGCGUAGGCGGCUUCUUAAGUCGGAUGUGAAAUCCCUGAGCUUAACUUAGGAAUUGCAUUCGAUACUGGGAAGCUAGAGUAUGGGAGAGGAUGGUAGAAUUCCAGGUGUAGCGGUGAAAUGCGUAGAGAUCUGGAGGAAUACCGAUGGCGAAGGCAGCCAUCUGGCCUAAUACUGACGCUGAGGUACGAAAGCAUGGGGAGCAAACAGGAUUAGAUACCCCAGUAGUCCCUGUCUCUUAUAC